rnacentral:lncRNA from 1 species
GCUGCUGCUGCUGCUGCUGCUGCUGCUGCUGCUGCGGUGGCGGUGUCUCGCCUGCCGGUAAGGGCCCUUUGCACGGGAGCCUGAACGAGUGCAGCUGGAGCAGCCAGCAACCGUCUUCAGCAUCAUCGUUCCCACUCAGGAGCAGAGUUCUAGGGCACCUCGGGAAUUCCUAAGCAUUCUAACUUACCC